GACCUGAGCCAAAGUCGGACGCUCAACCCACGGAGCCACCCAGGCACCCCUGUAUACGUGGUAAUUCUUAUUUGGAUACCAGGUUGUAUUGGUGAAGAUAUUGAGAAACAGAUACGCUCCUUGUUUUCAAGUGUAAGCUUUUAAGAGAGCCAUCUGACAUCUGUGAAAAUUUAAAAAUGCACUGCCACCUUCAGGAAUUUACACCAGAUGUAUAAAUGUGUCCAGAGAAUAGACACAGAGCCGGAGUUUUGUGUCAAAAGUGGCUGCUUUAUAAGCUGCUAAGAAAUCUGCAGAAAGUUUUCAUUCUUGGCGAUUGUGGAUUAGCCUCUCGGUUUGGAAGAAUUGGGAGUCUCUUACACAAAGGAUGUUUGCGCACGCUUAUUAUUAGAAUGGACACGGACGAAGGAAGUUUUAAGGAACUUGAAGUAGAAGAAAUACUGUGUCUGAAAUAUGAAGAAAAAAAUAAAGAGUAAAAACUAAAUAAAAACAAGAAACCACCACAACUGCAGCUCCAAGAAUUGCGGCACAAUAACAAGCAACCUAAUGUACCUGCAAAAGCGGUUCCAGGAAGAGAAGAGGGAAGAAGAAAUAUUUGAAGAGCAGCCGUGAAACCGGAAUAGGCUUACCCAUUUGUAAACAGGGUAAAACCAAAUCCUGGACUCGGCAGUUUUGUGGACAGGUCUGGGAUGCUGACAGGCGUGGCGUUCCAGAUCAGAAGGCAGAGGUCCUACAGGCCAGGUCAGGAACACGAGACCUCCUGGGAGACAGCAGCAAAUGCUCUGGCCUAAGUGGUUAACGCGGAAACAAAGUAACGAGCUCCCUACCUCCUAUUAACGACGAUGAACAGCUAGAUGCGGGAUUGACGUCGGUCUGGCAACCCAAAUUUGCUCCCUCUUCUGGGCAGGAUGAGAUAGGGAUGUUAGCACAGCAGAGCAGCAAGCCCCAUGGCCCCAGCAGGAAGGCAACAGGGCUAGGAAUGCUACGGAAGGAAAGGAGACCUCGAAACUGAGAUUAAUGUUGUCAGUGAUGAGGACUUUGCUAUUCGAUAGAGAGCUCUGGGUGACCUGAAAACAUAAGUCCAUUUGGUUGAAAUGGAGUGUGGGUGGCCCCUCGAAGGCGAGGAAAGCCUUGCCUGUUAGCGCAAAGUCUCAGCCAAACCUGGCAGAGAGUGAAGAUGGGGCUCUGGGUGCCAAGGUGGCCAAAGCUGGAAGACUGCAUGCAGCACAAUGGCGUGUGCGUGAGCAGGAAGUAAAGGGCCCCCGAGGAUGGGCACUCACUGGGUGCAGGGAGCACUUGGGGGAGGAAGCAGCAGCGGUGCUCAAGCAUUAUCUGCAGCCAGAGGUUAAUGGAGAAAAUCCGGAUUCCCCCCUUCCCCCUCCCCACCAUUGCUCCCACUGUCCCCAUGGACAGCCUCCUCCAUCUCCCAGCUGGGGUGACUUGGUCUCUUGGCAUCUGUGCUGUAGCCCCUGAUACGUGGGUUAAACUUCUCGGUCUGUGAUCCUAUUGAGAAAAAAAGACACUUGAAUUCAACUGAUGGGUUGGACAAGGCUUGUAGUGGGGAAGGAAGCUGAAAUUGUUAGGGACCCCUCUGAGCCAGAGAGAGCAGUCCCCAAGUGCUGAAAUAGGUUAAUAUAAGAGGCCGAAAUGAAACUUACGGUCAAGCCUCUGAUCACUUCAACAGUAAAAGCGACAGACUAAAUCAGAUGAAGCGUAGGUUCCUCUACAAAGGCUCCUGAAGGCUUGUAGACCUGGGGGGGAGGGAGGGGGUGAAGUGAAACAGGAGGAGGGCCUAAGAGUGGAAAAAGUCCGGAGAGCGAAGAAAGGUGUCUUCAAGUUAACCCCCUUCCCUCCUAUAAGCAGGUGUCAGUAAAGGUACCUGAGGAAUGCUUCUGCUGAAGCCCGUGACAAAGAGGCUCUGAAUAGAGGCACUGGCUACGUAGCACUGCGGCUGUGAAUAAAAGCCUGUGUCCUUGGGGCGCCUGGGGGACUCAGUGGGUUAAGCGUCCGACGUCAGCUCAGGUCAUGAUCU